GCCUGGUUGGCUCAGUCGGUGGAGUGUCUGACUUUGGCUCAGGUCAUGAUCUUGCGGUUUGUGAGUUUGAGCCUCACAUCGGGUG
rnacentral:tRNA from 1 species